rnacentral:lncRNA from 1 species
ACCACAAGCCAUUUGACCACAAAUCAAUAUAGUAACAUAAUAAACAGAGCCUCAAAGAGAUACAAUAGAGAAUAACAUAACACCAAAAAAGGAUACAGAUGACCCUGUAAAGAAAGAGAAACUAUUGUGGAAACAGAAGUCUGGAACAGUUGUAGAAUAAUCACCGAGUAGCCACUGAGUUGAUGCCGAAAUCAUAUCAACAUAGAAAGUCUGAUGCACCAACCACAAGAGAGCAAGGAUUAGCACAUGAGAAUUGGCACAAUGAUGACUAGCUAGCACCA